UACGAAGGGUGCAAGCGUUACUCGGAAUUACUGGGCGUAAAGCGUGCGUAGGUGGUUCGUUAAGUCUGAUGUGAAAGCCCUGGGCUCAACCUGGGAAUGGCAUUGGAUACUGGCGGACUGGAGUGCGGUAGAGGAUGGCGGAAUUCCCGGUGUAGCAGUGAAAUGCGUAGAGAUCGGGAGGAACAUCUGUGGCGAAGGCGGCCAUCUGGACCAGCACUGACACUGAGGCACGAAAGCGUGGGGAGCAAACCGG
rnacentral:rRNA from 1 species